rnacentral:rRNA from 1 species
GUCUAUAUGAAGUUAUAUAAAGUCUAGCCUGCCCAUUGAAUAAAUUUAAAAGGCCGCAGUAUAUUAACUGUGCAAAGGUAGCAUAAUCAUUAGUUUUUUAAUUAAAGGCUCGUAUGAAUGGCUGGACAAAGAAUGAUCUGUUUCUAUUUUUAAUUUUGAAUUUAACUUUUAAGUGAAAAGGCUUAAAUAAUUUUAAGGGACGAUAAGACCCUAUAAAUCUUUAUACUAGAUUAUUUUUUAAUUGAUUAAUAUUGUAAAUAUAAUAGUAAAAUAAUGUGUAUUCUGUUGGGGUGAUGAGAAUAUAACAAAUAACUGUUCUAAAAUUAAAACAAAAUUAUUUGUAAUAAUAAUAGAUCCUUUAUUGAGAUUAAAAGUUUAAGUUACUUUAGGGAUAACAGCGUUAUUUUUUUUGAGAGUUCUUAUCGAAAAAAAAGUUUGCGACCUCGAUGUUGAAUUAAAAUUUCUUUGUGGUGCAGUUAUUACAAAAGAGAGUCUGUUCGACUUUU